UACGUAGGGGGCAAGCGUUGUCCGGAUUUAUUGGGCGUAAAGAGCGUGUAGGCGGCCAGGUAGGUCCGUUGUGAAAACUCGAGGCUCAACCUCGAGACGUCGGCGGAAACCCUCUGGCUAGAGUCCGGAAGAGGAGAGUGGAAUUCCUGGUGUAGCGGUGAAAUGCGUAGAUAUCUGGAGGAACACCGGUGGCGAAGGCGGCAUUCUGGACCAUUACUGACGCUGAGGAGCGAAAGCCAGGGGAGCAAACGGG
rnacentral:rRNA from 1 species